GCUAGUGGCCUGCCAAUCACAGGACGUCAGGCCCCGGUAUGCACCAUGCCCAGCACCUCCUCCGGGCUCAGCUUUGACAUCUUCCUGCGGAGGGCUUACUCCAGUCCCAGGACUUUCAGGAUGCAACUGAAGAGAGGAGUAAUAAAUAAGCAGCAACUGACAGGACCUUCACCAGGUGCUAAAGGCACUUCAAGAACUUUACUGAUGAUCAAAGCUGCUGUCAGUGUAAAAUGUCCCAUCCCAGUGACACAUCGGAUUGAAGGAGGUAGAUCCUCACGUCGGAUUGGAGGAGGUAGAUCCUCCCAGCAGAAGGUUCAACACCAGCGCUGGUUGAGCUCACUUAUCUCAUAGGCGUGGAGAUGGUCUUCAAGAGAAAGUGCCGUGUGUGGGCAUCUUCACCAAGCACUCAGGACAGGGCAGUGGAAUGCACUGUGUGAAAAUGCUUCCUAAAACAGCCUGGCAGCAUGAGUUUCAACCGCAAAUCCCAUGGUGGAAGGAGAGAACCAACUCCAGGAAGAUGUCCUCUGACCUCUGACCUCUGC